rnacentral:tRNA from 1 species
GGCUUUGAAGUGUUUUCACGUCGGAUUGCAAAUCCGAAAAAGCCGGCUAACAGCCGGCCGGGGCCU